CAGUGUCAGGGAGGAAACGGCGUCCUUCAGCGUGUCAGACGCUUUGUUUAUGACAUCAGAGUCUCACUGAUGCUGUUGUUCAGACAGGCUCCGGUGUUCGGCUACUUCCUGGUUGGCUUCCCGUUCGCCGUGGUCACCGUCUUCUUCUACCUCUGCUGCAAGAACCGCCCCACCACGAGUGACGAUGACGACAAUGACAGUGUCACGCCGUCACUGCAGCGCCACUCCAGACUGACCGACAAAAAGUCGGACUGAGGCAAAGCGUCAGGGGGCGGAGCUUCAGCUGAAACUGAUCAGACGUACAUCCAGAGUUUUACUUUAGUGUUGAUGACAUCAUCAGUAUGUGUUUGACCUGACAUGUAAUAAAAACAGUGAAACAC